CCGCGGAGGCAGCGCCAUGGCGAGGGGCAUAAAGCGGGCGGUGUCGUUCUUACCGUCGUGUCACUGUGGCCGUCUGCCUCGGCAACCUCGUCGCCGCGCUUCUCGUGCUCGUCCUCAUUGCCCCCGCCUCCUUCGCCCCGAUAGCUCCCAACCGCGAGUGGAAUCUCUCGCCGACCGCCGCGCUUGCAUCUUUCUUUUUUCCUUUGAUCUGAUUGAAUUGAUCUUAACUUCAGGCGGCGAUACACGGAGGAGUAGAUUAAAAGGGUGGAGGAGUCGAUCGGGAUUCGCCGCGAGGCUAGCCUGUCGAGCUCGUGCAGGCGAAGGUUUCUGCGCGAGAGGAGAAGCCGCGGAAGGAGCUGCCACUGGUGCUGAAGCAGAAGAUCUCGUAUGAUACUGUACGGCGGCUGCAGUACUUGGGGGGUAACGGCAGCCUUGCAGAGCAAAGAGGCUGACCACCCCAAACUGAACUUCAAAGACAAGUAUUCAGAGUCAUACAGAGACGCUCAUCCCACCGCUCCUGUUGUUGUGCCAUGGAUGUCUGGUGUCAUCAGUGCAUUAGCAAGUCUCCCAGCAGCUCAAUUGAUAUUCGUGCUAGUGCAAAUGCAACCUCAACACAGCCAUACAACUUUUUUUUCCCGCCCACUAUACCGCUUAGUUUUCUUCUUCUUCUUUCUGACCUAGCCUGUACGAUGUAAAAUGUAGCUUUGUCGACCUGGGAGAUACUGUUUUUGAGGGAUAAUGUUUUAGUACAAUUGGAGUUGGUGGUGAUCAUCUCAAUUUAGAAACUCCA